GCCACAGCGCGGGCCAACGGCGCAACACCGCGGAUUCGAAAGCAAGGGAGGGGGAGGAGGAAAGUUUAUUCAGAGCUGCCACGUCUAGUCCGGGGGCCAGAGCCGUCACACCCGCACUGCCGCAGCCCCUGAACCCAGCUCACGGAGCCGACCCGGCGCAACCUCAAACACGGGAUACCCUGCAAGGGAUCAGCCAAAAGAGUUAGGAUGCUGGAAAGGUCCCACGGAAACUGGGAUGUUCCGGCACGAUUCAGUGUUGCCAACGCAGAGAGUUGAAGCCGUGGCGAGAACUCUGACCACCAUUCCCCAGACCUCAGAGAGAAACGAAAGGGGGAAAAAAAAAGCAAAACACCUUUUUGCCUUUGUUUAUAAUUGUAAGAAACGUUUUUCAACGAUUAAACUGAAGUAUCCUUGGUAAGACAGAUGGUAUAGGGACGAUCAUUAAACAUUAAAUGGGGGGAUCCCUGGGUGGCGCAGCGGUUCGGCGCCUGCCUUUGGCCCAGGGCGCGAUCCUGGAGACCCGGGAUCGAGUCCCACGUCGGGCUCCCGGUGCGUGGAGCCUGCUCCUCCCUCUGCCUCUCUCUCUCUCUGUGACUAUCAUAAAUAAAUAAAAAUUAAAAUAAUAAACAUCAAAUUGGGUUUCAACUGCACCACUUACUAAUGCAGUGCUCCCGCAGGAAAUCCCUUUUCCUCUUGGCUUAAGAAGAGAGGCCCCUCUGCAAACUUCCCCGAUUGGAACUUACUUAGUUCUUUGAUUUCUGCUGCUAGCUCAACAAUUCUUUUUUGGAAAAUACAGAAUCGUAUGUACGUGGAGAGAAUUGGACCCACCCACCCAGGAGUCUCCAAAUUGCUUUGAACCUAGGAACUGGACUCAAGCCUCUUUCCCCGUUAAGACUUGGGUGUGGAGAAUCCUAGGGGCUGUGGAAAAGAAAGAGCAUUGAUUAAAAUUGGCCUUGAAUUUUAA